rnacentral:rRNA from 1 species
UACGGAGGGAGCUAGCGUUGUUCGGAAUUACUGGGCGUAAAGCGCACGUAGGUGGGUCUUUAAGUCAGAGGUGAAAUCCUGGAGCUCAACUCCAGAACUGCCUUUGAUACUGAGGAUCUUGAGUUCGAGAGAGGUGAGUGGAACUGCGAGUGUAGAGGUGAAAUUCGUAGAUAUUCGCAAGAACACCAGUGGCGAAGGCGGCUCACUGGCUCGAUACUGACGCUGAGGUGCGAAAGCGUGGGGAGCAAACAGG